CCUACGGGGGGCUGCAGUGAGGAAUAUUCCGCAAUGGACGAAAGUCUGACGGAGCGACGCCGCGUGGAUGAUGAAGGCCGUGAGGUUGUAAAAUCCUUUUGCUGGGGAAGAAUAACCAUGGGAGGGAAUGCCCGUGGGAUGACAUGAACCGGCGAAUAAGCCCCGGCUAACUACGUGCCAGCAGCCGCGGUAACACGUAGGGGGCGAGCGUUGUUCGGAAUUACUGGGCGUAAAGGGCAUGUAGGCGGUUCUGUAAGCCUGACGUGAAAGGCUAUGGCUCAACCAUGGCAUUGCGUUGGGAACUGCGGGACUUGAGUCACGGAGAGGGAGCUGGAAUUCCAGGUGUAGGGGUGAAAUCUGUAGAUAUCUGGAAGAACACCAGUGGCGAAGGCGAGCUCCUGGCCGAUGACUGACGCUGAGGUGCGAAAGUGUGGGGAUCAAACAGGAUUAGAUACCCCUGUAGUC
rnacentral:rRNA from 1 species